GACGAACGCUGGCGGCGUGCUUAACGCAUGCAAGUCGAACGGAAAGGUCCUGCUUUUGUGGGGUGCUCGAGUGGCGAACGGGUGAGUAACACGUGAGUAACCUGCCCUUGACUUUGGGAUAACUUCAGGAAACUGGGGCUAAUACCGGAUAGGAGCUCCUGCUGCAUGGUGGGGGUUGGAAAGUUUCGGCGGUUGGGGAUGGACUCGCGGCUUAUCAGCUUGUUGGUGGGGUAGUGGCUUACCAAGGCUUUGACGGGUAGCCGGCCUGAGAGGGUGACCGGCCACAUUGGGACUGAGAUACGGCCCAGACUCCUACGGGAGGCAGCAGUGGGGAAUAUUGCACAAUGGGCGGAAGCCUGAUGCAGCAACGCCGCGUGCGGGAUGACGGCCUUCGGGUUGUAAACCGCUUUCGCCUGUGACGAAGCGUGAGUGACGGUAAUGGGUAAAGAAGCACCGGCUAACUACGUG
rnacentral:rRNA from 1 species